rnacentral:rRNA from 1 species
AGGGUUUGAUCAUGGCUCAGAACGAACGCUGGCGGCGUGCCUAACACAUGCAAGUCGAACGGUAACAGGGACUUCGGUCUGCUGACGAGUGGCGCACGGGUGAGUAACGCGUGGAUAUCUGCCUAUUAGUGGGGGACAACUUCCGGAAACGGAAGCUAAUACCGCAUAAUCUCUACGGAGGAAAGCAGGGGACCUUUCGGGGCCUUGUGCUGAUAGAUGAGUCCGCGUCUGAUUAGCUUGUUGGUGGGGUAAAGGCCUACCAAGGCGAUGAUCAGUAUCUGGUUUGAGAGGAUGAUCAGACACACUGGAACUGAGACACGGUCCAGACUUCUACGGAAGGCAGCAGUGGGAAAUAUUGCACAAUGGGCGAAAGCCUGAUGCAGCGACGCCGCGUGUGGGAAGAAGGCCUUCGGGUUGUAAACCACUUUCAAUUGGGAAGAAGGGAUGAGAACUAAUAAUUUUCUGACUUGACGGUACCUUUAGAAGAAGCACCGGCUAAUUUCGUGCCAGCAGCCGCGGUAAUACGAAAGGUGCAAGCGUUGUUCGGAUUUACUGGGCGUAAAGCGAGUGUAGGUGGUUUGUUAAGUCGGAUGUGAAAUCCCGGGGCUCAACCUCGGAACUGCAUUCGAUACUGGCAGGCUAGAGUUCGGGAGGGGUAAGCGGAAUUCCGUGUGUAGCAGUGAAAUGCGUAGAUAUACGGAGGAACACCUGAGGCGAAGGCGGCUUACUGGACCGAUACUGACACUGAGACUCGAAAGCGUGGGUAGCAAACAGGAUUAGAUACCCUGGUAGUCCACGCCCUAAACGAUGUCAACUAGCCGUUGCGGGUAUCGACCCCUGCAGUGCC